UACGUAGGGGGCAAGCGUUGUCCGGAAUUACUGGGCGUAAAGGGCGCGUAGGCGGCCCGCUAAGUCGAACGUGAAAUCCCCAGGCUCAACCUGGGAACUGCGUCCGAUACUGGCAGGCUUGAAUCCGGGAGAGGGAUGUGGAAUUCCAGGUGUAGCGGUGAAAUGCGUAGAUAUCUGGAGGAACACCGGUGGCGAAGGCGGCAUCCUGGACCGGUAUUGACGCUGAGGCGCGAAAGCGUGGGGAGCAAACAGG
rnacentral:rRNA from 1 species